rnacentral:rRNA from 1 species
UACAGAGGUGGCAAGCGUUGUUCGGAAUUACUGGGCGUAAAGGGCGCGUAGGCGGCCUUCUAAGUCAGACGUGAAAUCCCCGGGCUUAACCUGGGAACUGCAUUUGUGACUGCAUGGCUAGAGUGCGGCAGAGGGGGAUGGAAUUCCGCGUGUAGCAGUGAAAUGCGUAGAUAUGCGGAGGAACACCGAUGGCGAAGGCAAUCCCCUGGGCCUGCACUGACGCUCAUGCACGAAAGCGUGGGGAGCAAGCAGG